AACGAUGUAGCUCAGCUGGGAGAGCGCAAGGUUUCAGCUUUGAACAUACCUGUUCAAGUCGAGCCAUCGUUG
rnacentral:tRNA from 1 species